UUCUACGGCCAUGCCACCCUGAGGUGAGGCCUGAUCUCCUCUGAUCUUGGAAGCUAAACUGGGUCAGGCCUGGUUAGUACUUACUUGGGAGAAUGCCCUCCAAAAGCCUGCAGUCUAAGAUU
rnacentral:rRNA from 1 species